rnacentral:RNase_P_RNA from 1 species
AAAAGGAAACGGACGAUUGCUCUUGCUCGAUAUAUCGAUAUUUCGAGAUUUCGAGUGGGGGAGGAAAGUCCGGACACCAACUUGAUAUAUCGAUAUUUCGAAAUGUCGAGUGAAAAGCGUACGGGCUAACGGCCCGCCGCGGAAUAAAUAACGCGAGAGGUGCGAACAGCGACGCCAAAUACCGAAAGGUAUGAGGCGCCCAGUAUGUAAUUUAUUAUGUGCCGGGCGAAUUCCAUAGAGAUAUGGAAGUGAAACGGCCAAAUCCUUACUGGGUGCAACCCUAUUGGGGCUAGAGCUCCGCAGUAAUGCGGAGCGGAGAUAGAUAAUCGUCCUCUGAUGAAAAUUGGAGACAGAAUCCGGCUUACAGUUUCCUUACAUAA